AUUGAACGCUGGCGGCAGGCCUAACACAUGCAAGUCGAGCGAGCGGCGGACGGGUGAGUAAUGCCUGGGAAUUGCCCAGUCGAGGGGGAUAACAGUUGGAAACGACUGCUAAUACCGCAUACGAUUGGAUUGCCCAGGUGGGAUUAGCUAUUUGGUGAGGUAAUGGCUCACCAGGGCGACGAUCCCUCGCUGGUCGGAGAUGAUGGUCAGCUACAUGUGAACUGUGACACGGUCCAGACGCCGACGGGAGGCAGCAUUGGUGACGAUGGCACAAUGGGGGAAACCCUGAUGCAGCCAUGCCGCGUGUGUGAAGAAGGCCUUCGGGUUGUAAAGCACUUUCAGCGAGGAGGCGUUACUCGCAGAAGAAGCACCGGCUAACUCCGUGCCAGCAGCCGCGGUAAUUC
rnacentral:rRNA from 1 species